rnacentral:rRNA from 1 species
UACGAAGGGGGGCUAGCGUUGCUCGGAAUCACUGGGCGUAAGGGUGCGUAGGCGGGUCUUUAAGUCAGGGGUGAAAUCCUGGAGCUCAACUCCAGAACUGCCUUUGAUACUGAGGAUCUUGAGUUCGGGAGAGGUGAGUGGAACUGCGAGUGUAGAGGUGAAAUUCGUAGAUAUUUCGCAAGAACACCAGUGGCGAAGGCGGCUCACUGGCCCG